GACGUAGGGGGCCAGCGUUGCUCGGAAUUACUGGGUGUAAAGGGUCAGUAGGCGGUGCGGCAAGUCGGGAGUGAAAUCUCUGGGCUUAACCCAGAGGCUGCUUCCGAAACUGCUGUGCUUGAGUGUGGGAGAGGCGCGUGGAAUUGCAGGUGUAGCGGUGAAAUGCGUAGAUAUCUGCAGGAACACCCGUGGCGAAAGCGGCGCGCUGGACCACAACUGACGCUGAAUGACGAAAGCUAGGGGAGCAAACAGG
rnacentral:rRNA from 1 species